rnacentral:rRNA from 1 species
GAUCUGGUGGUUAUGGCAGGGGGCAAACACCCGAUCCCAUCCCGAACUCGGCCGUGAAAACCCCUAGCGCCGAUGGUACUUCGUCUCAAGACGCGGGAGAGUAGGUCGCUGCCAGAUCU